AAGUGCCCAGAGAGGACGGUUCGUGGUGCGUGCGACGAAUUGUAGAAAUAAAGCAUACGAUUAAUCGCUAUUACCUUUGUGUUACCGGACCGAGUUCAUUCAAGUUUCAAUUACACACUACUUCUAUAAUAUGAACAGGACCCAAUUCAUUAAAGUUUCAAUGACGCAAUACUUCUAUAUUAUUGUUAAGCUAAAGCCGGGGUAAUAAUAAUAAUAACAACGCGCCUUGGAAUAGAAUAUUUCUAGAUAGAUGGCGCUAUAUAAAUGCCCAUUAUUAUUAUAUCGUCCAGCCCUAGUAUUGGUUGGUUGCAAAAUUAAAGAGGAAAAGAUGAUCAGUUUACCCGGAGCAUGGGCGUGUAUCGUAGACACAUUGACUGCAAAACUGACGUUAUUCGUGGCUGCUGCCUGGAAUGUGUACUCUCCUAAAGAAUGGAA